ensembl:snRNA U6 U6 spliceosomal RNA
GUGUUCACUUUGGCACCACGUAUACUAAAACUGGAACUAUACAGGAAAGAUUAGCAUGACCUCUGCACAAAGAUGACACAAAUUUAUGAAGCAUUCCAUUUUUUU